rnacentral:rRNA from 1 species
AUUGAACGCUGGCGGCAGGCCUAACACAUGCAAGUCGAACGAGUGGCGGACGGGUGAGUAAUGUAUGGGAAACUGCCCGAUGGAGGGGGAUAACUACCGGAAACGGUAGCUAAUACCGCAUACCAUCGGAUGUGCCCAAGUGGGAUUAGCGAGUAGGGUGGGUACCGGCUCACCUAGGCGACGAUCCCUAGCUGGGCUUAGAGGAUGAACAGCCACACUGGAACUGAGACACGGUCCAGACUCCUACGUGUGGCCGCAGUGGGGAAUAUUGCACAAUGGGCGCAAGCCUGUUGCAGCCAUGCCGCGUGUAUGAAGAAGGCCUUCGGGUUGUAAAGUACUUUCAGCGAGGAGGCGUUACUCGCAGAAGAAGCACCGGCUAACUCCGUGCCAGCAGCCGCGGUAAUUC